GACAGAGGAUGCAAGCGUUAUCCGGAAUGAUUGGGCGUAAAGCGUCUGUAGGUGGCUUUUUAAGUCCGCCGUCAAAUCCCAGGGCUCAACCCUGGACAGGCGGUGGAAACUACCAAGCUGGAGUACGGUAGGGGCAAGGAAGGUCGAUUCCGGUGAGCGGUGAAAUGCGUAGAGAUCGGAAAGAACACCAACGGCGAAAGCACUCUGCUGGGCCGACACUGACACUGAGAGACGAAAGCUAGGGGAGCGAAUGGG
rnacentral:rRNA from 1 species